AGUGAACGCUGGCGGUAGGCCUAACACAUGCAAGUCGAACGGCAGCACAGUAAGAGCUUGCUCUUACGGGUGGCGAGUGGCGGACGGGUGAGGAAUACAUCGGAAUCUACUUUUUCGUGGGGGAUAACGUAGGGAAACUUACGCUAAUACCGCAUACGACCUACGGGUGAAAGCAGGGGAUCUUCGGACCUUGCGCGAUUGAAUGAGCCGAUGUCGGAUUAGCUAGUUGGCGGGGUAAAGGCCCACCAAGGCGACGAUCCGUAGCUGGUCUGAGAGGAUGAUCAGCCACACUGGAACUGAGACACGGUCCAGACUCCUACGGGAGGCAGCAGUGGGGAAUAUUGGACAAUGGGCGCAAGCCUGAUCCGGCCAUACCGCGUGGGUGAAGAAGGCCUUCGGGUUGUAAAGCCCUUUUGUUGGGAAAGAAAAGCAGCAGGUUAAUACCCCGCUGUUCUGACGGUACCCAAAGAAUAAGCACCGGCUAACUUCGCG
rnacentral:rRNA from 1 species